rnacentral:tRNA from 1 species
GCCGAGGUGGCACAACCUGGUACUGCGCUGGAUUGCUAAGCACAGGCGUGCUUAUGAUUACCACGCAUUACGCGCAUUUAUCCAGUUCCGAAAGGAUUUGUGGGUUCAAAUCCCACCCUCGGCG